AAACCAACAGGGAUUGCCCUAGUAACGGCGAGUGAAGCGGCAACAGCUCAAAUUUGAAAUCUGUCUCUUUUAGAGUCCGAGUUGUAAUUUGCAGAGGGCGCUUUGGCGUUGGCAGCGGUCCAAGUUAUUUGGAACAGGACGUCACAGAGGGUGAGAAUCCCGUACGUGUGUCGGUGGCCUUCUCCGUGUAAAGCCCCUUCGACGAGUCGAGUUGUUUGGGAAUGCAGCUCUAAAUGGGAGGUAAAUUUCUUCUAAAGCUAAAUACUGGCCAGAGACCGAUAGCGCACAAGUAGAGUGAUCGAAAGAUGAAAAGCACUUUGGAAAGAGAGUCAAAUAGCACGUGAAAUUGUUGAAAGGGAAGCGCUUGCAGCCAGCCUUAUCUGUAGUUGCUUAUUUGGACUUUUGUCCAGUGCACUCUUCUAUAGGUAGGCCAGCAUCAGUUUAGGCGGUUGGAUAAAGGUCUCUGUCACGUACCUCUCUUCGGGGAGGCCUUAUAGGGGAGACGUCAUGCAACCAGCCUGGACUGACGUCCGCGCAUCUGGUAGGAUGCAGGCGUAAUGGCUGUAACCGGCCCGUCUUGAAACACCGACCAAGGAGUCUAACAUCUAUGCGAGUGUUUGGGUGUCAAGCCCAGACGCGUAAUGAAAGUGAACGGAGGUGGGAACCCUUUGGGUGCACCAUCGACCGAUCCUGAUGUCUUCGGAUGGAUUUGAGUAAGAGCAUAGCUGUUGGGACCCGAAAGAUGGUGAACUAUGCUUGAAUAGGGUGAAGCCAGAGGAAACUCUGGUGGAGGCUCGCAGCGGUUCUGACGUGCAAAUCGAUCGUCAAAUUUGGGCAUAGGGGCGAAAGACUAAUCGAACUAUCUAGUAGCUGGUUCCUGCCGAAGUUUCCCUCAGGAUAGCAGUAACGUUUUCAGUUUUAUGAGGUAAAGCGAAUGAUUAGAGGCCUGGGGGUUGAAACAACCUUCACCUAUUCUCAAACUUUAAAUAUGUAAGAAGUCCUUGUUACUUGAUUGAACGUG
rnacentral:rRNA from 1 species